AGAGUUUGAUCAUGGCUCAGAAUCAACGCUGGCGGCGCGCUUAACACAUGCAAGUCGAACGAGAAAGGGGAGCAAUCCCCGAGUAAAGUGGCGCACGGGUGAGUAACACGUGGGUAAUCUGCCUCUGGGUGGGGAAUAACUCUGGGAAACCGGAGCUAAUACCGCAUAAGCCUGAAAGGGGAAAGGCGAAAGUCGCCGAGAGAGGAGCCCGCGGUCGAUUAGCUAGUUGGUGGGGUAAAGGCCUACCAAGGCAAUGAUCGAUAGCCGGCCUGAGAGGGCACACGGCCACACUGGCACUGAAACACGGGCCAGACUCCUACGGGAGGCAGCAGUGGGGAAUCUUGCACAAUGGGGGAAACCCUGAUGCAGCGACGCCGCGUGAGCGAUGAAGCCCUUCGGGGUGUAAAGCUCUUUCGGCCCGGACGAUAAUGACGGUACGGGAAGAAGAAGCUGCGGCUAACUACGUGCCAGCAGCCGCGGUAAUACGUAGGCAGCGAGCGUUGUUCGGAGUUACUGGGCGUAAAGAGUGCGUAGGCGGUGGCCCAAGUCUGGUGUGAAAUCUCCCGGCUUAACCGGGAGGGUGCGCCGGAAACUGGGUUGCUGGAGUACUGGAGAGGCAGGCGGAAUUCCUGGUGUAGCGGUGAAAUGCGUAGAUAUCAGGAGGAACACCCGUGGUGUAGACGGCCUGCUGGACAGUAACUGACGCUGAGGCACGAAAGCGUGGGUAGCAAACAGGAUUAGAUACCCUAGUAGUCC
rnacentral:rRNA from 1 species